CAAAAUCAAAAGUCGGACGCUUAACCAACUGAGCCACCCAAGUACCUUAAAAGCUAAGGCUCUUUUAGAAUGAGAGAUUUUUCUCAUCUGGUCCUGUCUAAAGGUGGGGUUCUACAUGGAGAGAGCAGAAGCCUUCUGCAGAGGAAAGAUGCCCAAACUGGGAAAAAGAAAUCUGGGUUUCUGUCCUAACCUUCUAAUUUACUGGAUCACCUUGGCCAGAUAUGCCUUGAGGAUCUUUAAUAUACCAGGUAAUGAUGAACUGGAUGUGGUCCCCGCCCAUGAGUCUUCUGGAGCAGACACUGGGCACAUACAAUUCUAGAGGACCCAAAGCGACGACAUUCACAAAUUCAUUGAUUCGCCCGCUUCUCCCGGCAACGUUUACGCAUCACCUGCUAUCUGCGAGGCUGAUAGAGCUGAGUUAAAAGAGUACAAUUCCUGUCUAAAGGAGCUCAAACUUGAGUUGACCAAAGCGUGAAGAUUUGAAAUGAAGGAGACUGCCUUCCUUCAUAAAUACCUUCCACCGUGUUCACAUACAUGUGACCCUCUCCCAGCCACAGGCUUUUAAAUUUGACCUUCCCUGGUGAAGUGAGACUUUUAAUACUCAUCUCACAGAUUUUCUAAACAGCAGCAAACUGACCAAGCCCUGCAGGGACAGUUCGAUUAGAGAAGAGUCAUAAGCAUGGGGGAGACUCAGCGAUGUAACUCACAGAAGAAAAAAUAAAUUCCAGCAGAUCCUA